AAACAUCGCCUCCUUGCAGUAUAUAGGAGGUCCAGCCUGCCCAGUGACCAAGUUAAACGGCCGCGGUACCCUAACCGUGCGAAGGUAGCGCAAUCACUUGUUCUUUAAAUGAGGACUAGUAUGAAUGGCAUCACGAGGGUUACACUGUCUCCCACCUCUAAUCAGUGAAACUGAUCUCCCCGUGAAGAAGCGGGGAUAAAACUAUAAGACGAGAAGACCCCAUGGAGCUUCAAACCCGGCAUCAACCAUUAACAUUAAUACCACAUUAAAUAAAUGGACCUGACUGCUGGUUUUAGGUUGGGGUGACCGCGGAGCAUAACAAAACCUCCAUGAUGAACGACCUCCUCUCUAAUCCGAGAGCCACCACUCAAAGAAUCAAAAAAUUGACAUUUAUUGACCCAAACUAUUUUGAUCAACGAACCAAGUUACCCUGGGGAUAACAGCGCAAUCCAUUUCAAGAGCCCCUAUCGACAAAUGGGUUUACGACCUCGAUGUUGGAUCAGGGUAUCCUAGUGGUGCAGCCGCUACUAAAGGUUCGUUUGUUCAACGAUUAAAACCCUACGUGAUCUGA
rnacentral:rRNA from 1 species